rnacentral:rRNA from 1 species
AGUCACUGACAUUAGAUACCCCCGGUAGUCCAGGGUGUAAACGCUGCAGACUUGGUGUUGGAAGUCCUUUGGGGGCAUUCAGUGCCGGAGAGAAGUUGUUAAGUCUGCUACUUGGGGAGUACGUCCGCAAGGAUGAAACUUAAAGGAAUUGGCGGGGGAGCACCGCAACGGGAGGAGCGUGCGGUUUAAUUGGAUUCAACACCGUAAAACUCACCAGGGAAGACUGUUACAUGAAAGCCGAGAUAAAGACUCUGCUAGAUUUUCAG